AACGAACGCUGGCGGCAGGCCUAACACAUGCAAGUCGAACGCCCCGCAAGGGGAGUGGCGCACGGGUGAGUAACGCGUGGGAAUAUGCCCUUCGGUUCGGAAUAACACAGGGAAACUUGUGCUAAUACCGGAUACGAUCUACGGAUGAAAGAUUUAUCGCCGAGGGAGUAGCCCGCGUAGGAUUAGCUAGUUGGUGAGGUAAUGGCUCACCAAGGCGACGAUCCUUAGCUGGUCUGAGAGGAUGAUCAGCCACACUGGGACUGAGACACGGCCCAGACUCCUACGGGAGGCAGCAGUGGGGAAUAUUGGACAAUGGGCGAAAGCCUGAUCCAGCCAUGCCGCGUGAGUGAUGAAGGCCUUAGGGUUGUAAAGCUCUUUCGCCAGGGAAGAUAAUGACGGUACCUGGAAAAGAAGCCUCGGCUAACUCCGUGCCAGCAGCCGCAGUAAAAC
rnacentral:rRNA from 1 species